AAGGUUAAAAAGCACACUCGGUGAAAGCCGAGGCCGCAAAACUAUAGGGCCCAGCAUAAUUGAGAGACCAAAGGACAGCCAGUUGCCGAU
rnacentral:ncRNA from 1 species